CCUAAACAAAGGGUAAAGCAAGUAAAGACCUUGCCUUCUGUGUUCCAGUUGUGUGGCCCUGUGAUGGAGAAUGUAGACGUUGAGCUUCAUUCUUGAAUCACAAAAACAAGCAGCUGAUCUUUAGACAUCCAGGUUGAAGGAGAGCCCUUGCCAAACCACCGAGGAAGAAGAGGGGUCAGUGUGCGGGAUGUGGCCGUUGCUACCUGGAUGAAGUUGGCCUAAUCACAGUUGUGGCUUGUCCUCUAGAGUGUUUUGGUUAUCAAACCACUUGGCGUUCUUCGGUGUUGGCGUACUAUAUGGUCCUCUCACUUUUGACUUUACUCCUAGCAGGUUUCAGGGAUAAUACUACAUCAGUGUGGGGUCAGUCAGUUGCUCAGUCGUGUCCAACUCUUUGCGACCCCAUGGAUGGCAGCAUGACAGGGAGGCCUGGCGUGCUGCGAUUCGUCGGGUCACAAAGAGUCGGACACGACUGAGCAACUGAACUGAACUGUGAUGACACUGAGCUCACCCAGAUAUUUCCAAAUAAUCUUACUUUAAGGUCAGUUUGAUUCCCUCUGCCGCAUAACUCCCCUUUACUGUGUAAGCUGUUGGUUCUAGGGAUUAGGGUGCAGAUACUCCGGGGAUGGGGAGCAUUCUGUCUCCCAUGUCUCCCCUCUUCUCACAGAACUAUGUCAGGCUCAGACAUUGUGAGAGGUCCAGGCAGGCCUUGGUAAACUUGACUUUUUCGGAAAAUAAUUAAGGGAAAUAAUUUUUUAUAACCAUUUAGUUAGAAAAAAAUGAACUCAAGACUAUCUUUAAGAUUCUUCUCUACACUAUUUAGAUGCCAGCUUACAGAGGUUGAAAAAGAAAAUGGUUACUCACUGAUUCAGUAAAGACCCAGUUGUCAUUCUUGUCUGAGUAAGACAGCAAGGGCUGGUAGUACACUUUAACUCAUUUCGGAAGAAGUACAGAACCACAUCUGUAAGUUAAAGACCUCCAGAAUGGGGAAGCCAUUGAAUAAAUAUUUGCCAUGUUAGCUAAUAAAACGUGAACAUUAAGGAACUGCAUUAAGAAGUGAAGAUAGAGACUGAGCAUCUAAAACCUCAAACAAAAACUGGGAAGUUAGCCUUUGG
ensembl:lncRNA